rnacentral:tRNA from 1 species
GGAUAGCUCUGUUGGUCAGAGCAUGGUGCUGAUAACACCAAGGUUGCAGGUUCGAUCCCCGUAAGGAACA